CCCCAGCAGUGUCUGUCAGGCAUAGCUCCUGGGAUCAGGUACCAAUUGACUUGUGCUUUCAGAUUAGGUGACAAGCAAACAUUGACGGGAGGGAGAGAGGCAGCAGGAGGGCAGAGAAGACUUCAAUUUCCAACCUCAUCACUCACCAGGAUAUCUAGCAAGACCUCUUUCCAUGGCUAGCUGGAGGAUGGAACUUCUACAUUUGUCAGACAUUGGCUGUUCCCUGUUGUUCAGGGACAUAUCAGUUCUGGAGGAAGAGCUUGCCUUCCCUCCCUCCAGCCAGUAGAUGUGUUCCAGUGACUCUUUCCCAAUUCAAAACCAAAUGGAAGAAAUGUCUGACUCUCCAGUGAGAAGAUACUAUUUCCCCACAUUCCAUUGAGAUAGGAAGAGCUAUAGCCAGGUGAGUAUUUCUGAUGGCCAUAGAUGUGGAAGUAGUAGUGACAUAUAUCCCAGAAGCCCAGUCCUAGUGUCAGUAGGAUUCCUGCAGUCGAAUCCUGUUCUCCUCCGGGGUCCAAUACUUUAACUUAACCAUCAGCUCACUGGAGUUGGAGACAAGGCAGCAAGGAAGACAUCUUGGGGUGGCUGUAUUCAAGAGAAGGGACUCCCAGGCCAUUAAAGUUUUGGGUGCCUGACUUCCCUCAAUUUCCAACUCCUCUUUUUCACAGAGCCAGUGGCUGCCCUGCUGAGAAGUUGAUGUGGUUCAGAUGGUGGAGCAAAAAGCAAAUCUGUCUUUGAAUCAGAAGAUCAGGCUCUGACCUUAACAUUUAGGGUGUGACCUUAGUAAACCACAAACUUCUCAGAGCUUUAGAUUUCUCAUCUGUCAGUUGAGAUAGGACAGAGUAUGGAUAUUAUUCAUAUUACCUACCUUACAGGAUUAUAAUGAGAAAAAUGCUUUGUAAAUCUUAGAGUGUUGCUGAAAUGCAGAAGUGUUAGGAAUUGUCGUAGGGGGUUUUGUCUUUUAUUUUCUAAGAGGAUCAAUGAUAUUACAGGAUAAUGUCUUGACUUCUGCAUGAGUUGGAUUUAAAUGAGGCAGAAUUGCACAAAGUUAUCAACCUUAUUCUCUCUCCCAGAGUCACUGAAGUCCAGUGACAAGACA
rnacentral:lncRNA from 1 species